rnacentral:rRNA from 1 species
AUUGAACGCUGGCGGCAGGCCUAACACAUGCAAGUCGAACGAGUGGCGGACGGGUGAGUAAUGUCUGGGAAACUGCCUGAUGGAGGGGGAUAACUACUGGAAACGGUAGCUAAUACCGCAUACCAUCGGAUGUGCCCAUAUGGGAUUAGCUAGUCGGUGGGGUAACGGCUCACCUCGGCGACGCUCCCUAGCUGGUCUGAGCGGAUGACGAGCCACACUGGAACAGAGACACGGUCCAGACUCCUACGGGAGGCAGCAGGGGGGAAUUUUGCCAAAUGGGCGCAAGCCUGAUGCAGCCAUGCCGCGUGUAUGAAGAAGGCCUUCGGGUUUUAAAGUACUUUCAGCGGGGGGGCGUUACCCGCAGGAGAAGCACCGGCUAACUCCGUGCCAGCCGCCGCGGUAAUUC